rnacentral:rRNA from 1 species
AAUACGAAGGGGACUAGCGUUGUUCGGAUUUACUGGGCGUAAAGCGCGCGUAGGCGGAUCACUAAGUCAGGGGUGAAAUCCCGAGGCUUAACCUCGGAACUGCCUUUGAUACUGGUGAUCUGGAGAUCGGGAGAGGUUGGUGGAAUUCCGAGUGUAGAGGUGAAAUUCGUAGAUAUUCGGAGGAACACCAGAAGCGAAGGCGGCCAACUGGCCCGAUACUGACGCUGAGGCGCGAAAGCGUGGGGAGCAAACAGGA